AAGGGCUCCGCUCGGCAGCUCGGCCCGCGGCGGGGCGCGCUAGGCCGCGGCUCGGUUAAUAUUCAUGAGGCGCCGCCCCUCCUCCGCGGCCCGCCGGACCCCGGCGCCCGCCGCUCGCCUUUGUGCCCCGGCCUCCCUAGCUGCGCACACGCGGGCGCGGCCUCCGCGGGCUCCCGCCUCAGCUCCAGGCGGUCGGCUGCGCGAUUAGGCGCCGCUAGCGGAACGGAGCGGCGGUGGCUGUGCUUUCCCCACGCUCCCCGUCACUGUGGCUUAGCCGCCAGCCCCGCGGCAGCCGCUCCACACCCAACUCCCGGGCCUGGGCUCAGACCCGAACGGCUGGCUCCGCCCUGUUGCGCUUCAUAACGUCUCCCGCUGCAAACCGCCCAAUCCGGUGACGCUGCGAGAGUAUGCGAACCACUCAGGGGCUACAGGCUCAAGCCUUCUGCUCCGCCCCUCAGCCGCCCCUUCCUACCGCUUCUCCGGAGGUGGCUCACCAGCUCUGAACCCAAGAGGAGCCUCUAGCUGUGGGAAUGGUGCUUGGCACCUCUUCACCACCACCCUCCCACUCCCGUCUUACGCAAUUCCCCCUCCAGGUCUCUGUCCUACUGAUGCUAUGGAGGGUCAUUUCGAUCCUCACUUCGGCAGGGGACUGACAGCUUUUGUGUCUGAUCAAUUGUCACCACCAUCCUGAGAGAACGGAACAAAAACCAAGACUUUGUGGGACGUGUUACCUUUUUCAUCUUUGCUACAAUUACCUUCUCAAGACUCCUCCCCCUUUCCACACCCAUCGCCUAGGGUCCUGUUUUUUGUGGAGGUUUUCAAAAGAGCACUCCGGAGCUGGUAAAGAAAAACCUGACCCUUAGUUUAUAGUUCCUUACAGUGAAAGAGGGCAGACAGAAUUUACCACCAGAUCCUGACACAGGAGAGAAAUUUUUUUUCAGUAGCCAUGAAAUAUGUAAGGUGUGACUGCCCGUAACCAAAUUAACCAAUAGCCAAGGGUGAUAAAUAAUAAAUAAAUGAAAACACAGCCUACUACUCUGAUCUAGUUAUACCCUGCCAUUGGGUAAAGCAACAAAAACUGAAUAGAAACAUAACAUUAAAGUGGUUUAUCCCUGGUGGGCUUAGGGAAUAAGAGGAUGCAAAUGUGUGUGCACUGCAUAACUGAAUGCCUAACAGCUGAGCGUAUCUACAAGGCUUCGCCUUUACAAGGCCUUGAUUUUACAAGUGUUGGUUUGGGAAGAAAGUUUCCUUUUGUUACUAGAGAAUAAAAGGUUGUCCAUAAAAGUAAAUGAAAGUCAUUAUGGGGCCAGGCAGUGGUGGCCCUUGCCUUUUAUCCCACCCAGCACUUGGGAGGCAGAGGCAGGCAGAUUUCUGAGUUCUCGGCCAGCCUGGUCUACAGAGUGAGUUCCAGAACAACCAGGGCUACACAGAGAAACCCUGUCUGGAAAAACCAAAGUCAUUAUGGAAAUAUGGGUAAGUAACAAAAUCUACAGAUGCAGCAUUUCAGUGGAAGGAAGUACCAUGUGAGAACCAAGAUUCUAUCCAGAGCCUAACUAGAGAUAAAGAUGGCUCAGCAGUUAAAAGAGUUCCUAGGACGAACAUCAGCCAGCUCACAACCACCUGUAACUCCAGCUCCAGGAAUACCCAACACCUCUGGUUUCUGAGGGCACUUGUAUUCACUGCAUAUAACCACACACACAAUUAAAAAUAAAGUCUUUUUAAAAUA